rnacentral:misc_RNA from 1 species
UGAAGGGGAUAUGAUGCUUGUUGGAGAUGACCCAUGGGAAGAAUUCUGUAACAUGGUGAGAAGAAUUUUCAUAUGCUCUAGGGAGCAAGUGAAAAACAUGGGCUCAGGAAGCAAGCAGCUGACCCCACUAGAAGUUGAAGGGGCUUUAGUAAUCCCGGAUUCCCCUGGAGUUUGAGAUAGGAACUUGAUUUUUGUUAUUUGAACUCCACUUCAGAUGUCUUUCCCUUGUUUGUUUGUUUGGUUAGAGCUUGUUUGGUCUUGGGUCGAUAAUAAAGUAUGAAAUUGAAAGAGUGGCAAAUGAAAG